UACGUAGGGUGCAAGCAUUAAUCGGAUUUAUUGGGCGUAAAGGGCGCGUAGGCGGGGGUGCCAGUCAACUGUGAAAUCCCGGGGCUCAACCCCGGAACUGCAUUUGAAACUACAUCCCUAGAGGGUAGGCGGAGAAAACGGAAUUCCACAAGUAGCGGUGAAAUGCGUAGAUAUGUGGAAGAACACCAGUGGCGAAGGCGGUUUUCUAGCUUAUACCUGACGCUGAGGCGCGAAAGCAAGGGGAGCAAACAGG
rnacentral:rRNA from 2 species